rnacentral:rRNA from 1 species
GAUGAACGCUAGCGGCAGGCUUAAUACAUGCAAGUCGAGGGGCAACAGGGGUAGCAAUACCUGCUGGCGACCGGCAAACGGGUGCGGAACACGUACAGAACCUUCCUUUAAGUUGGAGAUAGCCCGGAGAAAUCCGGAUUAAUACCUAAUAGUAUUAUGGUGUGGCAUCACAUUAUAAUUAAAGCCUUGGCGCUUAGAGAUGGCUGCGCGUAUGAUUAGGUAGUUGGGCGGGUAACGGCCCACCAAGCCUUCGAUCAUUAACUGGUGUGAGAGCACGACCAGUCACACGGGCACUGAGACACGGGCCCGACUCCUACGGGAGGCA